rnacentral:rRNA from 1 species
AACGAACGCUGGCGGCGUGCCUAACACAUGCAAGUCGAACGGAAUUGAGGGGCUUGCUCUUCAAUUUAGUGGCGCACGGGUGAGUAACGCGUGGAUAAUCUGCCUGACGAUCUGGGAUAACAUCUCGAAAGGGGUGCUAAUACCGGAUAAGCCCACGGGAACUUCGGUUUUUGCGGGAAAAGGGGGGGACCUUUUGGCCUUCUGUCGUCAGAUGAGUCCGCGUACCAUUAGCUAGUUGGUAGGGUAAAGGCCUGCCAAGGCUACAAUGGUUAGCUGGUUUGGGAGAAUGAUCAGCCACACUGGAACUGAGAAACGGGCCAGACUCCUACGGGAGGCAGCAGGGGGGAAUUUUGCGCAAUGGGCGAAAGCCUGACGCAGCAACGCCGCGUGAGUGAUGAGGGCUUUCGGGUCGUAAAGCUCUGUCAGAGGGAAAGAAGUGUAUUGUGGCUAAUAUCCGCGAUACUUGACGGUACCCUCAAAGGAAGCACCGGCUAACUCCGUGCCAGCCGCCGCCGUAAUAC